rnacentral:lncRNA from 1 species
CCUGUCUGCCCGGCCAGGAAGCUUCGUCUUCGGAUCACCAGGGACAGGUGCAGAGGGGCACGCGGGUGUGGCGGGUCCGCUGGAUCCGCUGUCGCUGGCGGCUCGCGUCUCGGCCCCGUGCAGCAGACGCUGUAGAGAGCACACACUCUCAUCUGUGGCCUGCCUGGUGUACCCCAGCGUUGAUUUAUUUAGAACAUUCAACCCGGAAUUCACUCCUCAUUUAUUACUUAUGCAAAAUUUGAAUCGAAACGACCAGUGAAUUGCGUCUUCAAAGAAGCCGAGUUUAGUCGCGAAUUCCACAGCCCACAAGAGACACAGGUAGACUGGCGGGAAGUCCAGGCGCAACCCUGGCUCCGCUGUCCCUAAGUCACGCC